GUACGUUUACUGAAAAUUGAACCCGCGUUACAAAAAGUAGGUACCAGUCAUGAGGAAAAUGAUUUUGUUAGAGCAAUUAUGCAAAGCAAACUUUCAUUCAUUUUCCUAAAAUGACAUGCCUUAAUUUGUCCAAUCUUUUUUUACAAUUACAGUGUCAUGCCGUUAAAUAAUGCCAUGCAAUCAUCAUGUGAAAACAUGCAGGUGCCAACUCCUGUUGUGGCCAUUUCUGCUCGGCCGGAUCCCACUCCUAUUGAGAAUAGCAGCACACAAAAGGCUCAAGUUGUCGAUUAGGUAGUAGGUACAAACUUCAUAUAUUUCUGUAUCUUAAUAAUGCUAUAUAGUACUGACAUCCUACAGCUUAUGGCGAAUGCUUUUGUGACUGCAGAUGGUAAUCAGUGAACAGUUUGGUUUCUUCUCUUCUACAAAGAGUUUUUUUUUCCUCCAUCAAUACUGGUGGUCGCUCUAACUUUGUGAAGCUAGAGAAACAAGAAGACAAAUGGGCAAACGUAGUAAACAUACCGAGUACAUUAUGAUUUUUCAGGCAUAAGAGAGGAUAAACUUUCUCAUCUAGUCAUUUUGCUUGUGUCUAGCAGGGUUAUGAGCUGAAGGCGCAUUAACUUGGCUUGCCCAUGGCGGUGUUUGAUACAGUAGUCUGUUAAUUUUCUGAUCGAGUUGAACAUAGCAAUUUAAGACCAAUUCAUACCAUGCUGUAAAUUUGUUGCACAAACAAACUGAUGAACCAACAACGAAAUUAUAACUUGGGCAUAUGAAACAACCAAGGGCUCCAGCCAAGUAUCAUCACAGUCCAUCAAACAUUUUUGCAUACUUCCACCAACAUGGUUGUAGAAACA
rnacentral:lncRNA from 1 species